GGUUGUGGCUCAGUGAUAGAGUGCUUGCCUAGCAUGUGUGAGGCCCUGGGUUCAAUCCUCAGCACCA
rnacentral:tRNA from 1 species